rnacentral:rRNA from 1 species
UGGGGAAUAUUGCACAAUGGGCGAAAGCCUGAUGCAGCAACGCCGCGUGCGGGAUGACGGCCUUCGGGUUGUAAACCGCUUUCAGCAGGGACGAAGGUUUUCUGACGGUACCUGCAGAAGAAGCACCGGCUAACUACGUGCCAGCAGCCGCGGUGAUACGUAGGGUGCGAGCGUUGUCCGGAAUUAUUGGGCGUAAAGAGCUUGUAGGCGGUCCGUUGCGUCGGAAGUGAAAACUCAGGGCUUAACCCCUGAGCCUGCUUUCGAUACGGGCGGACUUGAGGGAUGUAGGGGAGAACGGAAUUCCUGGUGGAGCGGUGGAAUGCGCAGAUAUCAGGAGGAACACCAGUGGCGAAGGCGGUUCUCUGGACAUUUCCUGACGCUGAGAAGCGAAAGCGUGGGGGAGCAAACAGGCUUAGAUACCCUGGUAGUCCACGCCGUAAACGGUGGGCACUAGGUGUGGGACCCAUUCCAC